AGGACGAACGCUGGCGGCGUGCUUAACACAUGCAAGUCGAGCGGUAAGGCCUUUCGGGGUACACGAGCGGCGAACGGGUGAGUAACACGUGGGUGAUCUGCCCUGCACUUCGGGAUAAGCCUGGGAAACUGGGUCUAAUACCGGAUAUGACCUCCUAUCGCAUGGUGGGUGGUGGAAAGAUUUAUCGGUGCAGGAUGGGCCCGCGGCCUAGUCAGCUUGUUGGUGGGGUAAUGGCCUACAAGGCGACGACGGGUA
rnacentral:rRNA from 1 species